CCCGCCUCGGCGCCCCGCCGGCAUCCUCAGGCCCGGCCUCGUGAGCUGCCCUUUACCGUGAGGGCCCUGGCUCCCCUUCCUCACCUAAAAUUCUCUCUGCGCCCCCUCCCUCUCUGGCGCCUGGAGCCGCAUCCAGCCCGCGGUCCCUUCGCCCGACCUGGGUGGCAUGCGGUCCUCCCUCGCCCCUUGCUUGGGUUCCAGCGCCCCUAGUCCUAGCUCCCCUCUUUUGUAUCCCCCUUUAAUCCCCCAUCCCCCCAUUCAACCCAACUUCAGCCCCCGCGCUGCGCCCCCCUUCCCUGGCCCGGCUCGAUUGGCCGCUUCCUGAGCUGUCAGACUUGAGUCCGGCGCUCUUAUUGGGCGAUUCUCUGGCCGGGCGGCUGUGCCAAAGGAGGGCGCACCGGGCCGGGGGCGCCCAGGCAGCGACUGCCGCAGGGAGCCGAAGACCAGAGUCCCUGGAGGGCCAGAGGGGCCCAAGAGCCAGACCCGGAAAUGGACGGAGAGAUGGAGAGACUGAGGAUCUCUGAGGCCCAGGAAGACAGUUACGGGAAAGAUGGAGAUGCAGUUGCAGUCCUGCUGGAAGUUCCUGCAGCCUAAACUCUGGACCGGUGGGGAACAGUCACCUCUAAUCCCGGGAGGGAGAAACAACCUUCACUUUCUUCCUCCAGCUCUCCCUGUGGAGCUUCUGACAAAGAGACUAGAGGCCUGGGUGAGCCUCCCGUCCUUUCUCUAUUGGUCAUCUCUUUGGAAAUUGGAAGAUAAACCUUCCCAGAGUUGCAAAUUGGGAGGAGAACCAUUCCAAGAGAUCUGAAUAAACUAACCCUAGAGUAUUCCAGCAUUUGAGCAAUCAGUCCCUGAUUAGUGAAGUCUUAAAAGCCUGAAGCCUGAAUUUAGCCAACAAACAUUCAUAGAGCACCCUCUAUGUGCUCCUGUGCUAGGUGCUUCAGGGAUGGAGAGGUUACCCACCUCUGGUUACAGUCAGGGAGGAAGAGCAGCUAGAUGCUAACUCCAGUUCAGAACACAAUUCAGUCAGUGUUCAACAGAGGACCAGAGAAUGUUUUGGGGGGUUGGAGAGACAAAGCUUUAAUUCCUACUGAAGCGAUUUAGCAGCAGCAGCAGGCACCUAAAAGAGGUUGAAUCUGGAGCCAGCAGAAUAGGAGUCAAGAGGAAAAGAGAAUGGACUGAUAUUAAGCCACAACAAUAUGCCUGUGAAUCUUAUUGUCAUAUAACCCUUUU